rnacentral:misc_RNA from 1 species
GAUGAAGAACGCAGCGAAAUGCGAUAAGUAAUGUGAAUUGCAGAUUUCAGUGAAUCAUCGAAUCUUUGAACGCACAUUGCGCCCGGUAGUAUUCUGCCGGGCAUGCCUGUUCGAGCGUCAUUUCAACCAUCAAGCCCCAGCGCUUGUGUUGGGGGCCUGCGGCUGCCGCAGCCCCCUAAAAGCAGUGGCGGGCUCGCUAUCACACCGAGUGCAGUAGUUCAUCUUCUCUCCGGUCUUGUGAGGCGGGUUCCGGCCGUGAAACACCCCACUACAUUCAAGGUUGACCUCGGAUCAGGUAGGAAUACCCGCUGAACUUAAGCAUAUCAAUAAGCGGAGGA